UUUUUAUGGUGUAAAACACGUUAUAUUUUCAAUAUAAAGCUAAGAGCCAUGCUCUUUAAAAACAA
rnacentral:tRNA from 1 species